UAGCCUGAACCAGCCAAGUAGCGUGAAGGAUGAAGGCUCUAUGGGUCGUAAACUUCUUUUAUAUAAGAAUAAAGUGCAGUAUGUAUACUGUUUUGUAUGUAUUAUAUGAAUAAGGAUCGGCUAACUCCGUGCCAGCAGCCGCGGUAAUACGGAGGAUCCGAGCGUUAUCCGGAUUUAUUGGGUUUAAAGGGAGCGUAGGUGGACUGGUAAGUCAGUUGUGAAAGUUUGCGGCUCAACCGUAAAAUUGCAGUUGAUACUGUCAGUCUUGAGUACAGUAGAGGUGGGCGGAAUUCGUGGUGUAGCGGUGAAAUGCUUAGAUAUCACGAAGAACUCCGAUUGCGAAGGCAGCUCACUGGACUGCAACUGACACUGAUGCUCGAAAGUGUGGGUAUCAAACAGGAUUAGAUACCCUGGUAGUCCACACAGUAAACGAUGAAUACUCGCUGUUUGCGAUAUACAGUAAGCGGCCAAGCGAAAGCAUUAAGUAUUCCACCUGGGGAGUACGCCGGCAACGGUGA
rnacentral:rRNA from 1 species